CGUAGCUCCGCAAACGCACAUAACGCACACUGCGUAGGGCACCAAAUGGCCGGUAGGGCACCAAAAAAAUCAGGGUCGUAAAAAAAAAAAAAGUAAACCAUAUUAAUACUAUAAAUAUCAUAUGCAUUAAUAUGGUUAAACAAUACAAAAGCAACAUAAAACAAUUUUCCCGAGAAAAGGGGUGAAUCUGCUUUGUGCCCUGUCUCCAGUCUCCUCCUGGUGCCCCCCCCCCCCCCACUCCCAGUGGUCUGUUCUAUAAUGCCUCAAUUCGGUAUUGGUAAACACCUGUUUGAACAUGGCCUCGAAACGGCAACAGGAGUCGGGAGCGGAGAAAAGAAAGAAGAAGAGGAAGCGUGAUGAAACUCAGGCGUCGCUUGCCGGGUCAAUGCUUAAAUAUGUUCAAGGAGGAUCUCAAGGACAGGAUGAACCAUCCAGUAGUAGUGCCAUCCCUGGACAUCAACCACCAGCCAUUGUAGACCCUGCAACAAUCCCUAGCCAAGAAGAACAAGAACCAUCAACCACCAGUUCAGGUACAGUUCCAUACACAAGUACCACUGAGAGUCCUGUCACUGAGAGACUAUCAGAAAGUGACACUGUGGAGACAUGUGUGCCCCCUUCAACCGAUCCUGCUCUUUGGCCAGCUCACAUUGUAGAUGCUGAUCGUGUUGAAAUUGUGCGGAGAGGUCCUUUUAAUGUCAGCUCUGAUUUUAA